rnacentral:lncRNA from 1 species
ACCAAGGAUUUGCAAGGUCAAUCCUACCGACUAAAGCAAUGCCUGUUGAUUAUAGGCCUUGAAUAUUAGAGGAUGAUUUUGACCAGGUGAUAGCCCAAGAGACUAGGCAACUUCCCAGGAGACAGAAUUUGUCCAAGAUUUACAAAGUAACUUAUAUUUUCAUAUAUUUCAAUUACUGAUUUUAACUCAACUAUCCAUAUUACAUGAUCCUAUGAUACACCGCAACAAUUACCUAUGAGUUCUACAUAAUACAUAAUACUUUAGUCCGGUCUUCUAAUUUUAUUGUUUAAUCUAAGCUUAUGAAGCAUAAGUUUACAACACUAUUGUUGUCCUAGAACAAAUAUUAGAGCACACAUUCUCCCAUAACCAACAUAUAGAAAUCACAUUAAUACAUGAUGUUCCUACUGUGAUGAUAGUAGUAAGACUAGUAUGUUACUACUUCCUACUAUCAUAAAAUUAAUUACACUAGUAUAUUACUGCAGUAUAAAAAGGAUGAAAAGAGAGCACAGUAUAAGAUAAAAACCACUAGGAAUAACACACAACACAAACACAAAAAGCGCCAUAGCAAGACUGAAAAUCCCCAACGCAUAUCCUUGAUUCAAACACACUUUUAGAUUCCCAAUCCAACUCAAUUUAAUAAUAAAUCCCUCAUCGAUCAGCAAAAACGUUCUAGACGAAAUAUCCUAUCAAUAACAUCAAUUGCAACUCCAGAGAGGGAAGAAAAAAUAGAGAGCGAGGAAGAGGGAAGGAGAUGAACAAGAUUCUCUCAUUCCCUUUUCUUCUCUUUUUCUUUGGGUGAGAAAAGGCCCUAGGAUUAGAACUCGCAAAGUUACAUAUUAGAUUAAUAUUAGAUAAAAUAAAAAUCCUUAGCGAAAGAAACAAAGGGGCAUGCGAUUGGGGAAGAUAGAGAUAGAAGAUUUACCUUGAGGCCGUCGUUCCCUUCGAUUCAAUCGUCUCGGUGAGGCGUUGUCUUGGUGGAACGGAGGCCUCUUCGUCAAGGCCGUCGUUCCCUUUUUGUGCCUUUUUG